rnacentral:tmRNA from 1 species
AAUAAACCAUCCGGACCCGGGGGCGGUACCCGGCGCCUCCACCCCAGCCCAGACCGCGAUUUACGCGCAUCUGGGUUGCGGCGGGGGCGAAACAGGAUCGACGGGGGCGUAAAGGAAGAUCUUUUGCCCGGCAUGAUACCGCCGUUAUCGGGUCAAACCUAUAGUUGCCAACGACAACUAUGCUCCGGUGGCCGUCGCCGCGUAAUGCGGUGAAGGUACUGGGAAUCAAGCCCUAGGGGGUUAGCACCUUCUAGGCGGGGCUCGGAGGCGCCUGGCAACAGAAGCCUCCACU